rnacentral:rRNA from 1 species
CCUGCCCAAGAGAUCGGGAUAACACCUGGAAACAGAUGCUAAUACCGGAUAACAACAGAUGAUGCCUAUCAACUGUUUAAAAGAUGGUUCUGCUAUCACUCUUGGAUGGACCUGCGGUGCAUUAGCUAGUUGGUAGGGCAACGGCUUACCAAGGCAAUGAUGCAUAGCCGAGUUGAGAGACUGAUCGGCCACAUUGGGACUGAGACACGGCCCAAACUCCUACGGGAGGCAGCAGGG